GAGGGUGUAGCUCAGUGGUAGAGUGCUUGCCUAGCAUGCACGAGGUCCUGGGUUCAAUCCCCAGUACUGCCA
rnacentral:tRNA from 1 species